rnacentral:rRNA from 1 species
GACGAACGCUGGCGGCGUGCUUAACACAUGCAAGUCGAACGGAGUGGAGAACGGCAGAGUGACACGUUGGUGACCGGCCCUGCACUUCGGGAGGAACCCGGGCAACUGGGGCGAAUUCCCGAUAGGGUGGGAUGGGCCCGCGGCCUCUCGGCUUGUUGGUGGGGUAAUGGCCUGCCAAGGCGGCAGGGGGUAGCCGGCCUGGGAGGGUAGCCGGCCACAUUGGGCCUGUGGCACGGCCCGGACUGCGACGGGCGGCAGCAGUGGGGACUAUUGCCGAAUGGGCGGAAGCCGGAUGCAGCGACGCCGCGUGGGGGAUGGUGGCCUUAGGGUUGGAAACUCCUUUCACCAUCGACGCGGUGGCUGGAGAAGAAGCACCGGCUAACUACGUGCCAGCCGCCGCGGUAAUAC